rnacentral:rRNA from 1 species
ACCACGACUCUCGACAAUGGAUAUCUCGGCUCUCGUUUCGAUGAAGAACGUAGCGAAAUGCGAUACUUUGUGUGAAUUGCAGAAUCCCGUGAAUCAUCGAAUAUUUGAACGCAAGUUGCGCCC